rnacentral:lncRNA from 12 species
GGGGGGGGGGGGGGGGGGGGGGGGGGGGGGGGGGGGGGGGGGGGGGGGGGGGGGGGGGGGGGGGGGGGGGGGGGGGGGGGGGGGGGGGGGCCCCGCGGGCACACGGCUCCACGGGCACACGGCUCCUCGGGCACACGGCUCCUCAGGCACACGGCUCCACAACACAGCCGGCUCCACAGGCACACGGCCGCUCAAGCACACGGCUCCUCAGGCACACGGCUCCACGAGCACACGGCUCCUCGGGCACACGGCCGCUCAGGCACACGGCUCCAUAGCAGAGCCGGCUCCGCGGGCACACGGCUCCACGGGCGCGGUGCCGCGCUGGCGGGCAGCCGCACACACGAAUGGAGUUAAUGGUGCAUUUAGCUGCAGGCCCAGCUACAUUUCCAUGCAAAGCUGUGUUGAUAUGAGACAAAUCCCAGAUAACCACCCAGAAAAGUGGAAAAUCUGCCCCUGAACAACCAUCCUGCUCUCCAUUAACUCCGAGUCUUUUCCCUGACCUCUAAACACUUGUGUAAUGCCAACCAACACUGGAAAGGAAUCACCUGUGCUGGCUGAAGGGCUACUCAGUCUCACUUCCACUUCAGAAGAGACAAAAUCAAGGACUGGACUGUGGCUGUAAUACAGAGCAUCAUACAUGGGAGCUCAUUUAACCCUGCUUGCUUGUGAAUAAUUAAUGAAAUUUGUAAGUCUGGCUUUGGAUUUGUAACAAAUAUAACACAAUAGGAAGCAAAAAGGCUAAAAACAUAGAAUUUGGACAUUGGGUGUAUCACAUAUAUACUUAAGGACAAAAUUAGUCCUGCUUUACUUAAUAGAAAGCCAAAAGAGUAAUGUGUAAAAAAGAGAAGGGUAAAGAGUAAUGUGCACCUAGGAGGGUGAAAGCUAUGUCAGCAGUACAAAACACUAUGCAAUCACUCAGCCAGAGAACUUAUUUCUGUUCAAUGACAUUCUAGCAUAUGAGCCAGCACACAGCCAUGCAUUUUUACGUUUCUCUUUUCACUGUUUUUUUCAUCUCCAUGCCAUUGGAUUGAAGAGUUAAUAAAAUUCUACUCCUGCAUGAGGUCAUUUCACAACAAAAUGCAGCAGUUUGAAAUGGAAAUAUAACAAGCACUAAGAAGAUGUUUAAUGAGGUGGCAUCCUGGAUGAGCUCUUUGAAGAGUACAUUUGCAGAAUUGUUUGAUUGCAUAGAUCAUGCAGGAAAAUAGAAACCAACACAGAUUUAGCUCUGAUUGCCAUGGUUGCAUUCAGAUCAAACAUCACAAUUCCGCUUGGAAUUAGAAAUAAAUCUGAUACACUGAAUUGCCUAAUAGCAUGGAAAUGUUCCUGUGCAAUUUGCAUGGUAAAAUGCUGAGAAAAAUGGUUCUUCCUUCAGCCUAAACAAGGUAAGACUUGAAUCUGCUUUUCCAUAUUAAAACAAUUGUACUUAGUCUUAAAGCUGAUGACAAUGCCGUGUUUUAACAGCACAAAGCUGAAAUUUAACCAUGUCUCCCAUCAUUUUUGUUCCUUACACUUUUGCCUUCUGACAGUAACAUAGAAGAGUUUACUUACAAGUUGUCAAUAUGCCAAUAUUUCAAUUUCAAUGUUGAUUUUACUUAAAAGAAGCAAGCUGUCAUAAGUGGCUUUUGUGUGGAUUCCAAUGUUUGCCAUUGUUCAAUGUUUAUCUCAGCUCUGAAACCUCAGCAUGUAAACAUAUGGAAUUCAAUCUGGGGCAAUAUUAUUAUUGAAAGAGCAAAAAAUUGGAAGAGAUUGGAAUUUACUGUGCUACUGGAAUGAGGUUUUUUUGUGUCAACUUCUUUGUCCAUCUCAAUAGGUAUCAAUCAGAGAUCCUAAAUAAAAAACAGAUGCUAAUUCACUAUUACUGAUCACAAUUAUAAUAAUCUCCAAUUUAUACAAUUCUUUAAUUGUUUCUUGAGAGUCUGUU